AUUGAACGCUGGCGGCAGGCCUAACACAUGCAAGUCGAACGAGCGGCGGACGGGUGAGUAAUGUCUGGGAAACUGCCCGAUGGAGGGGGAUAACUACUGGAAACGGUAGCUAAUACCGCAUACCAUCGGAUGUGCCCAGAUGGGAUUAGCUAGUAGGUGGGGUAACGGCUCACCUAGGCGACGAUCCCUAGCUGGUCUGAGAGGAUGACCAGCCAGACUGGAACUGAGACACGGUCCAGCCUCCUACGGGAGGCAGCAGUGGGGAAUAUUGCACAAUGGGGGCAAGCCUGAUGCAGCCAUGCCGCGUGUAUGAAGAAGGCCUUAGGGUUGUAAAGUACUUUCAGCGAGGAGGCGUUACUCGCAGAAGAAGCACCGGCUAACUCCGUGCCAGCAGCCGCGGUAAUUC
rnacentral:rRNA from 1 species